rnacentral:lncRNA from 1 species
CUUCACAAUAACCAUGCUAUUAUACUGACCACUCAUUACAUAAUUUACCAGAAAAUUAUGCAGAAGUAGCAUAAGUCUUUCCAACAUUAAUGCAAAGACAUUAUCACUGAUUUUGAUUUUGAGAUGUGGUCUCAGGUAAAGUGAUAAUUGUAUUAAAACUAAUCUUUUUUUCAAAUGCAUUCCAAGAUCUCAAUUUUCUCCCUCAAAUAUUACCAUAAAAACUGAUGUCUUAGCCCACACAAUCCUUUCUAUCAAAUUCCUCACAACCAGGCUUUGGAUAGAGGGAAUUUCUAAGCCCUGCUGUGGCCGUCUCCACCUGCUCUUCCACGCCAUUCCUCCUUCUUCCAUGCGCACACUUAUAUCUCUAAGAACCUAUCUCACGAAUCAAUAUUCUACCUCUGUUAGCUCAACUCUCCGAGUCAUUCUAGUUGAGGAAAAAAGAGUGGGAAAGUAAAAUUACCACUGUGGUCAAGAUUAAGACAACUUAAACCAGAAGCUGAAUUCCAACCUCUGUGAAGCAUGAAGAACACCGAGAAACACAGGCUGCUAGGAAUUACUGCCUUGACUCUACCUUGAGAUUUCAGCCUUUCCAGUUCCCUUAUAUCUAGUAAAGCAUCAUUAAUUUGGGGCUUCACUAAUUCAAAAAUUGUUAAGAGUUCACACAGGUACUCUGUUGAAGUUUAAUUUUACACUAAGAAUAAUGACAGAUUGCAAACAAUACUAGUAGCAUUAGGAGGAUAUUCACUAUAAAAAACCUUAUCUUCACAAUACAUAUAAAGAGGAUAGUCACAAAAAAUGUAUCUUCAUAAUAUAUAAGGGGGAUAGUCACAAAAAAAGAUCUUCAAGUACUGCAAAAGAACUUGUUUGUUUACAAUAUUAUGCUUAAAAUAUAUGUUACAGUCCCUCUCAGGAAAUUCUAAGCAGUCAUUACAUUAUUACACAUUGCUAGAAGGAAAUGAUAGUUUUCAGACUAAUUUGAAGUAGCUUUUCUCCCAAAGAUUUCCAAAAUAUUUUUUAAUAAACACAAACACAUUGCAAUACUGUUUAGUGCAUUUAAUAAAAUGGAAAAUAGUACACUAGUACUGUGAUUAUACUUUAGUUUCAAGAGAUAAUUGUUAAUAUACAUGUAUAUAUUUUAGAUAGGGUCUCACUCUGUUGCUCAGGCUGGAUUGAGAUGGUAUGAUUUUGACUCACUGCAGCCUGGCCUCCCAGGCUCAAUUGAUCCUCCCACCUCAGCUUCCCAAGUAGCUGGGACUACAGGCACACACGACCAUGCCUGGCUAAUUUUUGUAUUUUUUGUAGAGACAGGGUUUUGUCAUGUUGCCCAGGUUGGCCUCAAACUCCUGAGUUAAAGCAAUCCAACCGCCUUGGCCUCCCAAACUGAUUAUUAAUUUUAAAAUGUCCGUUGGUAACCACUCUUAACAUAUUUUACCCGUAGAGAAUUUUUCUGAAGAAAAAUAAUUAACAUAGAAACAGAAAUGUCAAAAUUUGUCUAAUUAUCUAAUUUACUCAUUACUGACCCAUACUGGUUUUAUUGAUUUUAUUUAUAUGCUAUGUGUUUUAAUUAUCUAUUGUAUAAUAAAUUACCCCAAAACUUAGCAGCUUAAAACAACAAACAUGUAUUAUCUUACAUGGUUUCUGAGAGUUAGUUCUCUGGGGGUGGCUAAGCUGGGUGGCGCUGGCUUGGCUGUCAUUGCAGCUGUUGUCUCGACUGAAGGCUGAGGGAGGAUCCACUUCCAGGCUUUCUCCAUGGUUGUUGGCAGGCCUCAGUUACUUGCCUGAGUUCUCAGGCUGGAGUCCUCAGUUCCUUAGCAAAUGAGACUCCAGAGGCUGUUUGAGUGUCCUCUCAUAUGACAGUUUGCUUCCCCACAGCAAAUGAUCCAAGAGAGAAAGAGUGUGACUGCCUACGAUGGAAGCCAUGGUCUUGAUGACCUAACAACAUACCAUAUGACAUAUCAUCACUUCUGCUCAGUUCUACUGCUCGCAUAGACCAACCCUGGCACAAAGUGGGAAGGGACUUCACAAGCAUGUGGAUACCAAGACACAGGGUGUGAAUACCAGGAGGCGGAGAUCACUGGGAUCCAUUUUGGGGCUUUGCUAACACACUAUGAUUUUUUAAAAGAAGAAUACAAAAAAAAGGGAAGAAAACACAAUAUGGGGGAAGGAAAUGUUCACUCAGAAGGUCCAGAAACACAUUCAAAUAUAUAUAAAAAUACUGUAUACUAAAGAAUGGUCUCUAUAUAUUUGAGUAUGUUUCUGGGCUUUAUUUUUAUUUUAUUUAUUUUUCCUCACAACCAGGCUUUGGAUAGAGGGAAUUUCUAAGCCCUGCUGUGGCCGUCUCCACCUGCUCUUCCACGCCAUUCCUCCUUCUUCCAUGCGCACACUUAUAUCUCUAAGAACCUAUCUCACGAAUCAAUAUUCUACCUCUGUUAGCUCAACUCUCCGAGUCAUUCUAGUUGAGGAAAAAAGAGUGGGAAAGUAAAAUUACCACUGUGGUCAAGAUUAAGACAACUUAAACCAGAAGCUGAAUUCCAACCUCUGUGAAGCAUGAAGAACACCGAGAAACACAGGCUGCUAGGAAUUACUGCCUUGACUCUACCUUGAGAUUUCAGCCUUUCCAGUUCCCUUAUAUCUAGUAAAGCAUCAUUAAUUUGGGGCUUCACUAAUUCAAAAAUUGUUAAGAGUUCACACAGGUACUCUGUUGAAGUUUAAUUUUACACUAAGAAUAAUGACAGAUUGCAAACAAUACUAGUAGCAUUAGGAGGAUAUUCACUAUAAAAAACCUUAUCUUCACAAUACAUAUAAAGAGGAUAGUCACAAAAAAUGUAUCUUCAUAAUAUAUAAGGGGGAUAGUCACAAAAAAAGAUCUUCAAGUACUGCAAAAGAACUUGUUUGUUUACAAUAUUAUGCUUAAAAUAUAUGUUACAGUCCCUCUCAGGAAAUUCUAAGCAGUCAUUACAUUAUUACACAUUGCUAGAAGGAAAUGAUAGUUUUCAGACUAAUUUGAAGUAGCUUUUCUCCCAAAGAUUUCCAAAAUAUUUUUUAAUAAACACAAACACAUUGCAAUACUGUUUAGUGCAUUUAAUAAAAUGGAAAAUAGUACACUAGUACUGUGAUUAUACUUUAGUUUCAAGAGAUAAUUGUUAAUAUACAUGUAUAUAUUUUAGAUAGGGUCUCACUCUGUUGCUCAGGCUGGAUUGAGAUGGUAUGAUUUUGACUCACUGCAGCCUGGCCUCCCAGGCUCAAUUGAUCC